AAAGGAGCAUUGUGUUUUUAACCUUACAUCAUCAAGGUCUAGUAAAAUGUUUUGUCAUCAAUGUAUUUACAACAAAUGAGAUGUUAGUGUGAAAAUCAUAGAGCGAUGAGGUGCCUAACAAGCACAAAGAUAACAAUGGUCCUUACUCCUGAACAUUGACUGAUAUGUUUAAAUUUUAAUUUACCUUUAAUUCAGUUCCAUGUUAUGUUUUUCUCAAGCUAAUGGUGUAGAAUUAAGUUUUACAGGAUAAGAGUUAUGAUGAAUCAAAGAACCAACCAUUGCACAAUGUAACACAAAACAACUGCGUUGAUCAAAACUCGGCCAAUAAAGAGGAAUCAUUUAACAAAGGAAGUGAGAGGAGCACGUGUAAAGCAAACUGGCGCUGCUGUGGAGAGAACUGUUACUAUUUUUCAAGUGAUGAAAAGAACUUUAUGGAGAGUAAGAAAUUCUGCAAGGAAAGGGGCUCCACACUUCUCAAGAUAGAAGAUGAGGAAGAACUGAAAUUCAUUCAGAGUCAACUAUCUUAUUUUUAUUGGAUUGGAUUGUCCCGUGAAGGCAUCAGAGGAUCCUGGACAUGGGAAGAUAAGUCACUACCCAUUCUCAAAAUGGAUUGGAAAGAAUCAAAAGAUGGAAACUGUGCCAGACUAGCAGCAACAAAUAUGGCUGCUCAUGAUUGUUCCAAAGUGAUACAAUUUAUUUGUGAGAAGAAAAUGGCUUUUCCUGCUGCCUAGCCAUAUGCCUAACCCUGAACCAGAGCUUGUUUCAACAAACGAAGCACUUUUUUAACAUGUGGCAUCACCACGGGAGAACUGCAGCUAACU